rnacentral:tRNA from 2 species
GGUUGCGUGGCCCAGUGGUUAAGGCAUCUGCUUUACAAUAUCCCAGUAUCGCAGAGGAUCGCAGGUUCGAUCCCUGCCGCGAUCA